GAGAGAUGUGGAUAAACCACGGAAGAAACACAUGGUUUGAAUAAAAAGAUCAAUGUACUUAAAAUGAAUCGUAUAAAAAUUGCCUUUUGUUUAUAUUCCAGAUUUUUAACAGAUACACUAUAAACGAGAGAUGAGUGUUGUCAUGAACACAAUGACCAUUCCUUCACUUGUUUUUGUCAUAAUGAUACUAUUCAGUAUUUGAAUACUUCUUAAUACCCAC
rnacentral:lncRNA from 1 species